GGGACUAUAAAAAUAACGUAUAAGAAUUGGUCAUGGAGUCCAAAAUUAACAUUUCCACACUAAGAUGUUCGCGAAUGUAAAACCAAUAUUUAUAUAAACCGCAAUUUGCUAAAUUAGAUUAUAUCUACUAUUAAAAUACAAGAUAUUUAAUCCAUCGAUAUCUCAUAAAAGCUUAAAAGCAACUAAAACAGUUUUCACAUUCAGAACACACUUCUAUUCAGUGUGAGAUCUCUGAUGUUUAAUAAGACUUACAUUAUGGCUAAAACAUUUCCCACAUUCAGGACAUGAAAAAGGUUUUUCUCCUGUGUGAGUUCUCUGGUGACUAACAAGAUGUGAGUCCCGGCUAAAACAUUUCCCACAUUCAGGACAUAAAAAAGGUUUUUCUCCUGUGUGAGUUCUCUGAUGCCUAACAAGAGGUGAGUGACAGCUAAAACAUUUCCCACAUUCAGGACAUGAAAAAGGUUUCUCUCCUGUGUGAGUCCUCUGAUGCCUAACAAGACUUGAAUGACAGCUAAAACAUUUCCCACAUUCAAGACAUGAAAAAGGUUUCUCUCCUGUGUGAGUUCUCUGAUGAACAACAAGACUUCUGUGACAGCUAAAACAUUUCCCACAUUCACUGCAUGAAAAAGGUUUUUCUCCUGUGUGAGUUCUCUGGUGACUAACAAGAUUAGCGUAUUGGCUAAAACAUUUCCCACAUUCACUGCAUGAAAAAGAUUUUUCUCCUGUGUGAGUUCUCUGAUGUUUGUUAAGGUAUGAUUUACUAAGAAAACAUUUCCCACAUUCAGGACAUGAAAAAGCUUUCUCUCCUGUGUGAGUUCUCUGAUGAACAACAAGGCUUGUGUGAUAGCUAAAACAUUUCCCACAUUCACUGCAUGAAAAAGGUUUUUCUCCUGUGUGAGUUCUUUGGUGAUUUACAAGAUGAGAGUCACGGGUAAAACAUUUCCCACAUUCAGGACAUGAAAAUUUUUUUUCUCCUGUGUGAGUUCUCUGAUGAACAACAAGGCUUGUAUGACAGCUAAAACAUUUCCCACAUUCACUGCAUGAAAAAGGUUUUUCUCCUGUGUGAGUUCUCUGGUGACGAACAAGAUUAGAGUACUGGCUAAAACAUUUCCCACAUUCACUGCAUGAAAAUGGUUUUUCUCCUG